rnacentral:rRNA from 1 species
GAUGAACGCUGGCGGCGUGCCUAAUACAUGCAAGUCGAGCGAACAGACGAGGAGCUUGCUCCUCUGACGUUAGCGGCGGACGGGUGAGUAACACGUGGAUAACCUACCUAUAAGACUGGGAUAACUUCGGGAAACCGGAGCUAAUACCGGAUAAUAUAUUGAACCGCAUGGUUCAAUAGUGAAAGACGGUUUUGCUGUCACUUAUAGAUGGAUCCGCGCUGCAUUAGCUAGUUGGUAAGGUAACGGCUUACCAAGGCAACGAUGCAUAGCCGACCUGAGAGGGUGAUCGGCCACACUGGAACUGAGACACGGUCCAGACUCCUACGGGAGGCAGCAGUAGGGAAUCUUCCGCAAUGGGCGAAAGCCUGACGGAGCAACGCCGCGUGAGUGAUGAAGGUCUUCGGAUCGUAAAACUCUGUUAUUAGGGAAGAACAUAUGUGUAAGUAACUAUGCACAUCUUGACGGUACCUAAUCAGAAAGCCACGGCUAACUACGUG